CAGAGUUAUCCAACUCCCAAACCCAUGUGAACUUACCUCUUUGUUGCCUCGGCGCAAGCUACCCGGGACCUCGCGCCCCGGGCGGCCCGCCGGCGGACAAACCAAAACUCUUGUUAUCUUAGUUGAUUAUCUGAGUGUCUUAUUUAAUAAGUCA
rnacentral:misc_RNA from 1 species